ACAUGCAAGUCGACGAUGAACCACUUCGGUGGGGAUUAGUGGCGAACGGGUGAGUAACACGUUGGGCAAUCUGCCCUGCACUCUGGGACAAGCCCUGGAAACGGGGUCUAAUACCGGAUACUGACCCGCCUGGGCAUCCAGGCGGUUCGAAAGCUCCGGCGGUGCAGGAUGAGCCCGCGGCCUAUCAGCUUGUUGGUGAGGUAACGGCUCACCAAGGCGACGACGGGUAGCCGGCCUGAGAGGGCGACCGGCCACACUGGGACUGAGACACGGCCCAGACUCCUACGGGAGGCAGCAGA
rnacentral:rRNA from 1 species